rnacentral:misc_RNA from 1 species
AAAGUCGUAACAAGGUUUCCGUAGGUGAACCUGCGGAAGGAUCAUUAAAGGGAAUUCCGGGGUUUCGUCCCCGUCCUCCCACCCAUGAAUACGCGAGGUCAAUCAUCGAGUUACUUCGGCGGAUCUUUUCGCCGCCGAGCAACAACCACAAACUCUAAUUCGACGUGUCGUCUGAGUAAAAACACAAACGAAUCAAAACUUUCAACAACGGAUCUCUUGGUUCUG